rnacentral:rRNA from 1 species
UACGUAGGUGGCAAGCGUUGUCCGGAUUUACUGGGCGUAAAGAGCGCGCAGGCGGUCGGAUAAGUCGAAUGUGAAAGCCCCCGGCUCAACUGGGGAGGGUCAUUCGAUACUGUCCGACUCGAAGGCAGGAGAGGGAAGCGGAAUUCCCGGUGUAGUGGUGAAAUGCGUAGAUAUCGGGAGGAACACCAGUGGCGAAGGCGGCUUUCUGGCCUGUUCUUGACGCUGAGGCGCGAAAGCUAGGGUAGCGAACGGG